rnacentral:lncRNA from 1 species
GCUCAUCAUCCUAGAAAAAUCUUCUUCGCAUAACAUCCCUUUGUUCGAGCUUCCAAAAUUAUUUUGUUUCCGGGGACAUAUGGCUUGUAUCUAUUGUCAUGGUUUCCCGAUCCGUCUUGUACAUAUCUUUUUUGCGCAAAUACUCCCUUUCUCGUGCAUAUUCGGCUUGAAUUGUCAUCUCGUUCUCUUGGCAUUUCUGCUCCAUUUCAAUUCUUAUGGCGUUCUACCUUGCAAGUUCCUCCAAAAUUUUGAAUUAUUAUUGCUCGAAUUACCCGCUUUCUUUGUCUUCGCAGCCUUUCAGCCAAUGGGCCUCAGCUUCUUUUCGAUGGGUGACUCUUGACUCAUAGGGGAAUCGAGAGGUGAAUCUGAUGUCAUUGAAUCACGGAGUGGCGUCUCAUUUAACACAACGGUGGGACCCGUGGGAAUAAUUCUGAAGCAUUUGCAAUAUUUCACCACCUCCCAACAUUCAAAAUGGUUGAAACUUUUUUGCCUUGCCCAGUUGCACCAAACCACAUAUGUGCUUGAAUCAUCUAUUUAAAAAAAAAAUGAAAAUGCAAGAAAUUUUUAAAAUAUAUUGAAUAUGCAAGUAACAAAAAAAAAAAAAUUAAUGGAAAUGCAAUUAACCUUACAAAUAAAUUGGAAGUGCAAGAAAUAUUAAAAAACAAUUGGAAAUGCAAGAAAUAUUAACAAAAUAUUGAAAAUGCAAUAAAUAUUAAAAUAUAUAUAUAUAUUAGGACAUUAAACUUAAUAAAACGAA